AUUGAACGCUGGCGGCAGGCCUGACACAUGCAAGUCGAGCGGAUGAAGGGAGCUUGCUCCUGGAUUCAGCGGCGGACGGGUGAGUAAUGCCUAGGAAUCUGCCUGGUAGUGGGGGAUAACGUCCGGAAACGGGCGCUAAUACCGCAUACGUCCUGAGGGAGAAAGUGGGGGAUCUUCGGACCUCACGCUAUCAGAUGAGCCUAGGUCGGAUUAGCUAGUUGGUGGGGUAAAGGCCUACCAAGGCGACGAUCCGUAACUGGUCUGAGAGGAUGAUCAGUCACACUGGAACUGAGACACGGUCCAGACUCCUACGGGAGGCAGCAGUGGGGAAUAUUGGACAAUGGGCGAAAGCCUGAUCCAGCCAUGCCGCGUGUGUGAAGAAGGUCUUCGGAUUGUAAAGCACUUUAAGUUGGGAGGAAGGGCAGUAAGUUAAUACCUUGCUGUUUUGACGUUACCAGCAGAAUAAGCACCGGCUAACUUCGUG
rnacentral:rRNA from 1 species